rnacentral:rRNA from 1 species
AAUGAACGCUGGCGGCGUGCCUAAUACAUGCAAGUCGAACGAACACACGAUGAGCUUGCUCCCCUGCCGUUAGCGGCUGGCGGGUGGGUAACGCAUAGAUCACCUACCUAUAUUACUUGGAUAACUACGGGAGACCAGUUCUACUACCGCAUCAUAUAUUCAACGGCAUGGUUCAGUAGUUAUUGACACUUUUGCUGUCACUUAUAGAUGAAUCCGCGCCGCAUUAGCUAGUUGGUAAGGUAACGGCUUACCAAGGCAACGAUGCGUAUCAGACCUGAGAGGAUGAUCGGCCACACUGGAACUGAGACACGGUCCAGACUCCUACGGGAGGCAGCAGUAGGGAAUAUUGCGCAAUGGGCGAAAGCCUGACGGAGCAAUGCCGCGUGAGUGAUGAAGGUCUUCGGGUCGUAAAACCCUGUUAUUGGGAAAGAAAAGAUGCAUAAGAAAACACGGACGUUUUGACGGUACCUAAUGAGAAAGCCACGGCUAACUACGUG